ACAUAAUAUAUAUUACAACUAAUAUAUACUCAAGUGACAAUCUCAAGGAAAACACAAACCGUCUACAGAAAUGAGAUGGGAAAAGAAGUAUUGUGUUUUAAUAUCGUUUAUGAUAUGUGAGUUUCAGUACUUUUUCGCAACAGGCAAUUUUUCCAGUCAGAAUCUUUCCGCCGACUUCAAAAGAAAAAUACUUUUUAAUGGAUUCCAUAGGACUUACUGAUGCUCUGAAAAAUCACAAGAUAGAAAAUCGCCUUCACUGGAUAUUCCGGGAUAGCGCAACCGCGCGGGAUCCCGCUUUAGCGAACUGCGUUCUUUACUCAAAUUCCUAUUUUAUCAGGAUUGGAAUGACAAUGGGAUAAUAAAGGCACUAUAAUCCGGAUAUGAAAAUGAGUCUGUAUUUCGGGUGAUGUGAAAAUGAAUACGUGCGAUAAAACGGAAGGACUUCAUUCCGACUAAAAACAACAGGGAUUUUAUCAUACAGCAUAAAUAUCCAUGGGGUAAUAGGCAAAACAAAGCUCUUAAUAAAGGAAAAUUUUCCUAAAGAAAUAUAUUUAGAUCCUUAUCAGAUUCCAAGAACAAUAAGUAAUCUUGAAAUAAAGAUUCCUCAGAUUCAGUUUAUUAAUACUGAAACCCCAGCUUAUAAUGCUCAACCUUUGUAUAUAGAACUUUAUUCAUGCUCAAAGAAUGGCUCUCAUAAUGUGGAUGUUCCAUUUCAUGUAAGAUACAUAAAGCCACAAGAAUGUGACAUUCUUGGAGAAACUGUUGAGAUAGAGCUAAGACCACCAUCUGUUUUUGUUACAAGUAAUGAUUCCACAUGUACUACUGGUGAUACUGAAGUUGGUUCUUGGAAAACUUUAGAACAUGAAAUGCAUUCUAUAAGUUUUCAGGUACCUGUUGGGUGCAAAGAACAUUUUAACGCAGUUUUAUAUCUAACUCUGCUUGCAGUAGGAUUAUCAACUAUGUAUAUAUUCCAUGUACUAUUUCGCAUUAAAGUUUGAUUUGUAAAAAAAAGAAA
rnacentral:misc_RNA from 1 species